rnacentral:rRNA from 1 species
GUAGGUGGCAAGCGUUGUCCGGAAUUAUUGGGGCGUAAAGCGCGCGCAGGUGGUUCUUUAAGUCUGAUGUGAAAGCCCCCGGGCUCAACCGGGGAGGGUCAUUGAAAACUGGGGAACUUGAGUGCAGGAGAGGAAAGUGGAAUUCCACGUGUAGCGGUGAAAUGCGUAGAUAUGUGGAGGAACACCAGUGGCGAAGGCGACUUUCUGGCCUGUAACUGACACUGAGGCGCGAAAGCGUGGGGAGCAAACAGGAUUAGAUACCCUGGUAGUCCACGCCGUAAACGAUGAGUGCUAAGUGUUGGGGGGUUUCCGCCCCUCAGUGCUGCAGCUAACGCAUUAAGCACUCCGCCUGGGGAGUACGGUCGCAAAGACUG